AGUUGCGAAGGCGGCUCUCUGGACUGUAACUGACGCUGAGGCACGAAAGCGUGGGGAGCAAACAGGAUUAGAUACCCUGGUAGUCCACGCUGUAAACGAUGAGUACUAGGUGUCGGGGGUUACCCCCCUCGGUGCCGCAGCUAACGCAUUAAGUACUCCGCCUGGGAAGUACGCUCGCAAGAGGGAAACUCAAAGGAAUUGACGGGGACCCGCACAAGUAGCGGAGCAUGUGGUUUAAUUCGAAGCAACGCGAAGAACCUUACCUAAGCUUGACAUCCCAAUGACAUCUCCUUAAUCGGAGAGUUCCCUUCGGGGACAUUGGUGACAGGUGGUGCAUGGUUGUCGUCAGC
rnacentral:rRNA from 1 species